rnacentral:misc_RNA from 1 species
GCGUUGUAGGAGCCGGCGGC